UGGGGAAUAUUGCGCAAUGGGGGAAACCCUGACGCAGCAACGCCGCGUGAAGGAUGAAGGUUUUCGGAUCGUAAACUUCUUUGAUGAGGGACGAACAAAAUGACGGUACCUCAAAAACAAGCCACGGCUAACUACGUGCCAGCAGCCGCGGUAAUCAGUAGGUGGCGAGCGUUGUCCGGAAUUACUGGGUGUAAAGGGCGUGUAGGCGGGGAUGUAAGUCAGAUGUGAAAUUCCAUGGCUCAACUGUGGGGCUGCAUCUGAAACUAUGUCUCUUGAGUGCCGGAGAGGGAAGCGGAAUUCCUAGUGUAGCGGUGAAAUGCGUAGAUAUUAGGAGGAACACCAGUGGCGAAGGCGGCUUUCUGGACGGUAACUGACGCUGAGGCGCGAAAGCGUGGGGAGCAAACA
rnacentral:rRNA from 1 species